AAGUCGUAACAAGGUUUCCGUAGGUGAACCUGCGGAAGGAUCAUUAUCGAAUAGCAAGGAUUUUGGCUGUCGCUGGCUCACUUAGUUGGGAGCAUGUGCACGCUAGAGUCUAAACUUUUCAUUAUUUAUCUCCUGUGCACCUUUUGUGGAUUGUAGACGAAAUUAGCCCUUUCGGAAUUUAAUGUCUUUGGUUUUGAGACUUGUGCCUAAUCCGCGCUUGACUCUCUACUCUUCAAAACAUUAUUUCGGUUUUGAGACUUGCGCCUAACCGGUGCUUGACUUUAUUCUUUUUUCUGUCUACGGUUCAUGUCUUUUCUACACACUACAAACCUAAACCUAGAAUGUAUUCAAAGUUGGGACUUUAUUGGCCCUUCUUUAAAUCUUAUACAACUUUCAACAACGGAUCUCUUGGCUCUC
rnacentral:misc_RNA from 1 species